CGGCCUCCCAUCCGUCAGCACAACCCCCCCCCCCCCCGCGCUGUGUGUGCCCGUCCAUCAGCAACCCCCCUCUUUCUCCUGCACUGUGCGCCCGUCCAUCAUCACACACCCCCUCACCUUCACCAGCAUUGUGCCCGGCCUCCGCUCCCACGUCUGCGCCGGCCUGACGUCACACCGUAUGGCCGCGCAGGAGGACGUCAGUUACGUCACUCGCACGGCGCCCGGUGAGAAGGAGCGCUGCGCUGGAUGGAGGAUGAGAAUGCGCUGACAUAGUGAGGAGACGUGUGGGCAUCACAUUCUGCAGAGAGAAGUUUUAGCUGGAACAAGUCCUGGCGAUCUUGCUUUAACUUCCACUGUUCCUGAUGACUGCCAUUUCUUAAUUACAUUCCGAA